CAGUACCGUGAGGGAAAGGCGAAAAGAACCCCGGCGAGGGGAGUGAAAAAGAACCUGAAACCGUGUACGUACAAGCAGUGGGAGCACGCUUCGGCGUGUGACUGCGUACCUUUUGUAUAAUGGGUCAGCGACUUAUAUUCUGUAGCAAGGUUAACCGAAUAGGGGAGCCGAAGGGAAACCGAGUCUUAACUGGGCGUUAAGUUGCAGGGUAUAGACCCGAAACCCGGUGAUCUAGCCAUGGGCAGGUUGAAGGUUGGGUAACACUAACUGGAGGACCGAACCGACUAAUGUUGAAAAAUUAGCGGAUGACUUGUGGCUGGGGGUGAAAGGCCAAUCAAACCGGGAGAUAGCUGGUUCUCCCCGAAAGCUAUUUAGGUAGCGCCUCGUGAAUUCAUCUCCGGGGGUAGAGCACUGUUUCGGCAAGGGGGUCAUCCCGACUUACCAACCCGAUGCAAACUGCGAAUACCGGAGAAUGUUAUCACGGGAGACACACGGCGGGUGCUAACGUCCGUCGUGAAGAGGGAAACAACCCAGACCGCCAGCUAAGGUCCCAAAGUCAUGGUUAAGUGGGAAACGAUGUGGGAAGGCCCAGACAGCCAGGAUGUUGGCUUAGAAGCAGCCAUCAUUUAAAGAAAGCGUAAUAGCUCACUGGUCGAGUCGGCCUGCGCGGAAGAUGUAACGGGGCUAAACCAUGCACCGAAGCUGCGGCAGCGACACUAUGUGUUGUUGGGUAGGGGAGCGUUCUGUAAGCCUGUGAAGGUGUACUGUGAGGUAUGCUGGAGGUAUCAGAAGUGCGAAUGCUGACAUAAGUAACGAUAAAGCGGGUGAAAAGCCCGCUCGCCGGAAGACCAAGGGUUCCUGUCCAACGUUAAUCGGGGCAGGGUGAGUCGACCCCUAAGGCGAGGCCGAAAGGCGUAGUCGAUGGGAAACAGGUUAAUAUUCCUGUACUUGGUGUUACUGCGAAGGGGGGACGGAGAAGGCUAUGUUGGCCGGGCGACGGUUGUCCCGGUUUAAGCGUGUAGGCUGGUUUUCCAGGCAAAUCCGGAAAAUCAAGGCUGAGGCGUGAUGACGAGGCACUACGGUGCUGAAGCAACAAAUGCCCUGCUUCCAGGAAAAGCCUCUAAGCAUCAGGUAACAUCAAAUCGUACCCCAAACCGACACAGGUGGUCAGGUAGAGAAUACCAAGGCGCUUGAGAGAACUCGGGUGAAGGAACUAGGCAAAAUGGUGCCGUAACUUCGGGAGAAGGCACGCUGAUAUGUAGGUGAAGCGACUUGCUCGUGGAGCUGAAAUCAGUCGAAGAUACCAGCUGGCUGCAACUGUUUAUUAAAAACACAGCACUGUGCAAACACGAAAGUGGACGUAUACGGUGUGACGCCUGCCCGGUGCCGGAAGGUUAAUUGAUGGGGUUAGCGGUAACGCGAAGCUCUUGAUCGAAGCCCCGGUAAACGGCGGCCGUAACUAUAACGGUCCUAAGGUAGCGAAAUUCCUUGUCGGGUAAGUUCCGACCUGCACGAAUGGCGUAAUGAUGGCCAGGCUGUCUCCACCCGAGACUCAGUGAAAUUGAACUCGCUGUGAAGAUGCAGUGUACCCGCGGCAAGACGGAAAGACCCCGUGAACCUUUACUAUAGCUUGACACUGAACAUUGAGCCUUGAUGUGUAGGAUAGGUGGGAGGCUUUGAAGUGUGGACGCCAGUCUGCAUGGAGCCGACCUUGAAAUACCACCCUUUAAUGUUUGAUGUUCUAACGUUGGCCCGUUAUCCGGGUUGCGGACAGUGUCUGGUGGGUAGUUUGACUGGGGCGGUCUCCUCCUAAAGAGUAACGGAGGAGCACGAAGGUUGGCUAAUCCUGGUCGGACAUCAGGAGGUUAGUGCAAUGGCAUAAGCCAGCUUGACUGCGAGCGUGACGGCGCGAGCAGGUGCGAAAGCAGGUCAUAGUGAUCCGGUGGUUCUGAAUGG
rnacentral:rRNA from 1 species